UCAUCCUCUUCCUCGUGACAGGAGCUACAGGUAAGGGCUCCAAGUUCCAGACUUGAGGAGGUGCCAUGUACUCAGGUGACAGUGACAUCCACUCUGCCCUUCUCUCCACAGGUGUCCAUUCCCAGGUCCAGCUGCAGCAGUCUGGGGCUGAGCUGGUGAAGCCUGGGUCCUCAGUGAAGCUGUCCUGCAAGGCUUCUGGCUACACCUUCACUGACUAUUUUAUGCACUGGGUGAAGCAGAGGCCUGGACAGGGUCUGGAGUGGAUUGGAUGGAUUGAUCCUGAAGAUGGCGAUAGUCAGUACAACCAGAAGUUCCAGGGCAAGGCCACACUGACUGCAGACACAUCCUCCAGCACAGCCUACAUGGAGCUCAGCAGCCUGACAUCUGAGGACUCUGCUGUAUAUUACUGUGCAAGAGACACAGUGUUGCAACCACAUCAUGAGUGUGUCUGAAACCCUGGAGGGGCAGGAA